AACGUAGGACACAAGCGUUAUCCGGAGUUACUGGGCGUAAAGGGCGUGUAGGCGGAUCGGUAAGUCUACUCUGAAAGCUCCUGGCUAAACUGGGAGAGGCGAGUGGAGACUGUCGGUCUAGAGUGAGGAAGAGGAAAGUGGAAUUCCGCGUGUAGUGGUGAAAUGCGUAGAGAUGCGGAGGAACACCAGUGGCGAAAGCGGCUUUCUGGUCCUUAACUGACGCUGAGG
rnacentral:rRNA from 1 species